UACGACUACAUAUCAGGCAUAUCAAUAAGCGGAGGAAAAGAAACUAACGAGGAUUCCCUUAGUAACGGCGAGUGAAGCGGGAAGAGCUCAAAUUUGAAAUCUUCAAGGUCUUACCUUGACGAAUUGUAGUUUAAAGAAGUGUUUUCUGUUGAAGUUUCGGUAAAAGUUCUUUAGAAUAGGACAUCAUAGAGGGUGAGAAUCCCGUAUUUGACCGUUAUUUUCAGCUGUGUGAUACACUUUCAAAGAGUCGGAUUGUUUGGGAAUGCAGUCCAAAAUGGGUGGUAAAUUUCAUCUAAAGCUAAAUAUUGGCGAGAGACCGAUAGCGAACAAGUACCGUGAGGGAAAGAUGAAAAGAACUUUGAAAAGAGAGUUAAACAGUACGUGAAAUUGUCAAAAGGGAAGCGUUUGACACCAGUGUUGUUUUCUCGAAAAUCAAUUAAAAAUGGCUUGAUUUUGUGUUGUAUUGACCUUAAAAGCUUUCUUCACUUUUUUCAUGUCUUUUUUAAUGCACUUUUCGUUUAACAAGUCAGCAUCAGUUUCUUUUGUUGUAAAAAGGUCAUUGGAAGGUGGCUUUCUUUUCGGAGAAAGUGUUUAUAGCCUUUGACUCCUGCAAUCGGAGAGACUGAGGUCUGCAGCGUAGAUCCUUCUUGGAUUAGAUUCAUUUGUGCUAAGUUAUAGCUUUUUCAUAGACAACAUUGUUGACUAUAUUUAGUCAUUGUAACUUACUCGCUUAUGUAAUUUUACCUACGCUUAGGAUGUUGAACGCGCACAGAGUCUC
rnacentral:rRNA from 1 species